UAGGGAAUAUUGCGCAAUGGGGGAAACCCUGACGCAGCGACGCCGCGUGAGUGAUGAAGGCCUUCGGGUCGUAAAGCUCUGUUGCAAGGGAAUAAAAAAUGAAUGUACCUUGCGAGGAAGGAUCGGCUAACUUCGUGCCAGCAGCCGCGGUAAGACGAGGGAUCCUAGCGUUGUUCGGAAUUAUUGGGCGUAAAGCGGGUGUAGGUGGCUUUGUAAGUCAGGUGUGAAAGCCCAGGGCUCAACCCUGGAAGUGCAUUUGAUACUGCAGAGCUUGAGUGUGGGAGAGGUGAGUAGAAUUCCAGGUGUAGUGGUGAAAUACGUAGAUAUCUGGAGGAAUACCGGAGGCGAAGGCGGCUCACUGGCCCAACACUGACACUCAGACCCGAAAGCGUGGGGAUCAAACAGGAUUAGAUACCCACAUAGUCCCUGAGCGGGCUGGCAAGGCGCAU
rnacentral:rRNA from 1 species